CGUGUAGGCGGUCUUAUCGGUCAGAUGUGAAAGCCCAGGGCUCAACCCUGGACGUGCAUUUGAAACAGUAAGACUUGAGUACUGGAGAGGAAAGCGGAAUUCCUGGUGUAGAGGUGAAAUUCGUAGAUAUCAGGAGGAACACCGAUGGCGAAGGCAGCUUUCUGGACAGAAACUGACGCUGAUGCGCGAAGGCGUGGGUAGCGAACAGGAUUAGAUACCCUGGUAGUC
rnacentral:rRNA from 1 species